UACAGAGGUGGCAGGCGUUGUUCGGAAUUACUGGGCGUAAAGGGCGCGUAGGCGGUCUUGCAAGUCCCGUGUGAAAUCCCUCGGCUCAACUGAGGAACUGCACGGGAAACUGCUUGGCUUGAGUUCGGGAGAGGGAAGCGGAAUUCCGGGUGUAGCGGUGAAAUGCGUAGAUAUCAGGAAGAACACCCGUGGCUAAGGCGGUUCUCUAGUACGGUACUGACGCUGAGACGCGAAAGCGUGGGGAGCGAACAGG
rnacentral:rRNA from 1 species